AGAGUUUGAUCCUGGCUCAGAACGAACGUUGGCGGCGUGGAUUAGGCAUGCAAGUCGAACGUGAAAGGGGAGCUUGCUCCCUGAGUAGAGUGGCGAACGGGUGAGUAACGCGUGGGAAAUCUGCCCCAAAGCGGGGAAUAACACUCCCAACGGGGUGCUAAUACCGCAUGACAUCGCCGGGUGGCAUCACCUGGCGAUCAAAGGUGGGGACCGCAAGGCCUGUCACUUUGGGAUGAUCCCGCGUCCGAUUAGCUUGUUGGUAGGGUAAUGGCCUACCAAGGCGACGAUCGGUAGCUGGUCUGAGAGGAUGGUCAGCCACACUGGGACUGAGAUACGGCCCAGACUCCUACGGGAGGCAGCAGUCGAGAGGCUUCGGCAAUGGGCGAAAGCCUGACCGAGCGACGCCGCGUGAGCGAUGAAGCCCUUCGGGGCGUAAAGCUCUUUUGUGGGGGAAGAAACGCUGCGACCUAAUACGUCGUGUGCCUGACGGUACCCUGCGAAUAAGCUCCGGCUAACUCCGUGCCAGCAGCCGCGGUAAUACGGGGGGAGCAAACGUUGUUCGGAAUCACUGGGCGUAAAGGGCGCGUAGGCGGUCCUGUGAGUGGUGUGUGAAAUCCGAUGGCUCAACCAUCGAGCUGCGCUCCAUACUGCAGGACUUGAGUACAGCAGAGGAAAGUGGAAUUCCCGGUGUAGCGGUGAAAUGCGUAGAUAUCGGGAGGAACACCGUUGGCGAAGGCGACUUUCUGGGCUGCUACUGACGCUGAGGCGCGAAAGCCAGGGGAGCGAACAGGAUUAGAUACCCUGGUAGUCC
rnacentral:rRNA from 1 species